UGACUAAAGCAGGCAUAUGCCAGUUGACUGACACUUGAGCGCUUGGGAUCUUGUGGCUGUGCUCAGGGGUAGAGUCAACUUGCAUGUGCAUUCCAGAGGAA
ensembl:miRNA